UGUAUUUACCCCAUAU
rnacentral:tRNA from 1 species